rnacentral:sRNA from 1 species
UAUAUGCCCCAUUUUUGAUGUCAAAGUCGGCGGACACACUUGUUCACAUUUAUUUAUCUCUAAGAAGCUGUGCUCAUCCAGCCAAGAUAAAUCGACGUCAGCUAGUUCAUAGCUCUGGUUACAUGUAUCUGCAAACCCAUGGCUCCUAGUAGAGGCAGAGGAUCCCUUUUGCUGUGCUAGAUGCAUUCUUUGUUCUUAUCCUUAAAUCAAGACACCCCAACACCAGUCUUUUCUGAGAUUAGAGAAACAAAGUGAGGUGUUUUUUUCCUGUGUAAGAACAGAAUGUAAUACACCUUGUGAUUGCUUCCAUGUGACCUAUUUCCCUUUGUUCAUAUCCACUCUGACACAUUUUCUUCUAUAGCUUUUUUAUCUUCUCCCCUAGGAAGAUAAAACAGCCCUUCAUGAUACAUAUUAAUUUUAGAAUCAUUAAGUAAUUAGAAAAACCAGGUGCGAUAAAUAUAGAAGUCAUUAAAAAGUUCAUAGAAUAGUUUGACUUUAGAAGGACUUUGUGCUUAAAAUGUGCCGUGAAAAAUUGACUGGAUCCAGAUGAUGGAAAAGGAAAAUGCACGAUAGGGAAGGAGGGCUGUGUGAAUGGGAAAAGUCGCCCUUGCAUAGCUAGCACAGACCCUGGCUCAAUUUCCACUGGACGGUGUUAUGUUUUAGGUGUAAAAUGUCCCCCAUGGGCUUGGUUAGCUUGGUUCCCUGCUGCUACUGUUUUGACAGGGUAUGGAUCCUGUGGGAAGUGGAGCCUAGCUGGAGGAAGUGGGAGACGGGACUUGAGGUUUAUAGUUCAGCCUCACUUCCUGUUCUGCUGUGCUUCCUUGUCUGUCGAUAUACAAUGAGCAUCCUCAGCUCCUGCUGCCAUGCCUUCUCCACUGUGAUGGACUGUGUUCUCAAACAACGAGAGUUCAAGAUGGCUUUGGCAGCUGACAGAUUUCUCUUUAAGAAUGCACUGGAAGCCGGGGCCAAGGUCAAGACAUUGGCGUCCUUCUGAGCACAGAGUGAAGAUCUGUGGUCCUCUUAUUUCUUUCUUCUUGACUCCUGGCAUUUUGGUGACAAGCAGUUUCAGAUUGCACUUGUCAAAUCAGGAAACAAGGGAAACUUGGAAGGGAAAAUCAAAACAGUUGGAAAAGUCUCAACAGUUACACUUUCGCGUCGCUUACCGUGAAGAACCACUUGGUGUUCUCUAAGAAUGGGUUUGAUUACGCUGCCCACAGCUUUACAAGGUGUUGACCAGCUGGAGAUUUCUGUGUUAACUGCCAGGAGCUGCAAGGAGAAGCUUCUCUUUGAAAGAUGCUCUGAUCUUUGAGUCAGUAGGAGCCAUUUUAAUACUACGUCCAUUUAUCAGACUGAUAGAAUUAGGGUAUCCCCGGGAGUCUAUGACUCAUCUAGCCACAGGUCCUUGGCCUUUUUAGCAGUGCCAGGUCAUGGAGUAGUGUUUGGAUCCAAGCAGGAAAAGGUUGUUUAUUCACAUAAUAUUCACGCCACUAUUGUGUCGGUGGGUAUACCUUGUCAGACCAGGUAUUGCUGUAACUUGUAGAGUUCACAGAUAGGUGAAAAGUAUUUUUCUCUUCUAGCACCAUGCACAGUACCACUCAGCACUGCUCUUCUCCCCUCCGAUGCCCACUUCUUUUCUUUCCAUUCUUCAGUUUUAGAGUGGAUGAGGUCUCACUAUGUAGUACAAGCUGGUUAUGAGCUCACUACAGUGGACUCACUCUGUGUGCUGCUUACAUUUAUCUCAACUUGACACCAACUAUAGUCGUCCGAGAGGAGGGAACCUCAAUUAAGAAAGCACCUCCAUAAGAUCCAGCUGUGGGGCACUUUCUUAAUUGGUGAUUGAUGUGGGAGGGCCCAGACUAUUGUGGGUGGGACUAUCCUUUUGCUAGUGGUCCUGGGUUCUGUAAGAAAGCAGGUUGAGUAAGCCAUGGGGAAUAAGCCAGUAAGCAGCACCCUUCCAUGGCUUCUGCAUCAGCUCCCGUCCUGAUUGAGUCCUGUCCUGGCUUUCUUCAGUGAUGGAUUUCAAUGUGGAAGUGUAAGCCAAAUAAACCCUUUCCUCCUGAACUUGAUUUUUGGUUGUGGUAUUUCAUUGCAGCAAUAGAAACCCUAAUUAAUACCCUAUGUCCCUAUGUAGCCCAGAUUGUCUAGAAAGUGAUAAUCCUUCUGCUUCUGCCUCCCAAGUGCUAGGAUGCCAGACAUACGUAUAGCACCAUGCUGGGUUGUUUUAAUUUAGGUUUCACUGUAUUUAUUUAUUUGUUUGUUUAUUAUUUACUUAUUUAUUUACUGUGGGCCAAAUGCAUGCUGUCAGACACAUAUGGAGGUCAAAGGCUAACUUGCGGGAGUUUGUCCUCUCUUUCCAACACGUGUUUCAGGGGUGGCACUCAGGGCCUGCAGCCUGGAGAUAAGCACCCUUAUUAUUUGCUGAGCCACUGCCCCAGACCCUAACUUUUUCUUGACUGCCUAGAAAUCCAUUCCUUUUCUAUUUUUAAGCACAGUGUUAAUUACCUUAAUUAAUUAUCCAUACAAAGAUAUAAAUUAGACAUUUUAAAAAUAGAUGUGUUUCUAACUCGUUUGCCUAUUCCUAUGCUUAAGGAUGCUUAUUAAAAGUAGUUGUCAAUCUGUAAAAUGGCUGCAUCGUAUGUGGAGAUGAUCAUUUGACUUCUAUUUUUAACAUAUCUGUAUAAUAUUCUACGCUGUUAGAUUUUAUUGUAUUUGACCAUGCUUGUACUCUGAGAUUACUUUUACUGUAAUUAUACUAUGUAGUAAUAAAUAUAUGAUUUUUUGAAAAAAAUUUUGAAACAAAGUUUUACUAAAUUCCCCAGACAUGUUGAGCUCACUUUGUAGCCCAGGCUGACCUUGACCUUGUGAUCCCCUGUCUUAGCUCAACGGGACUGCAGGUGUCUGUCACAGGAAUUGGUGGUACAGUGUUGUCUUGACAUUUGUUAAGGGAUUUGCAUUAUCACUCAUAAGGGAAACUUUCUUUUUUCAUACUAGUCUGUCAGACAAUUAAGAGCCCCUUUCCUGUGAUCUAUAGCAAUUUGAAAGGAUAUCGAAGCUAUUGAUUUUAUAAAGGCUUGGUAGAAUUCUAUCAUAUCUUGUAAACACUGAUUUCUAGGGAGGCGUUGCUUUUGGGGCACACUUUAACAAUGCUCUUUAUUUCUUGAACAGCACCUGACCCACAUUGAAUUCCUAUUACUUAUGUGAGUUUCGGUAAUUUUUCUUUUUCAUGAAUCCUGUCUGUUUAGAUUCUUAGAGCUGCGCGAAGCUCAGGAAUGGGGGUCUCGUGAUUUCCCAAAUGUCUCCUCUUUGCAUCCCUUCUGUUGCUUGUGUGUGGUUUCGUAUUUUUAAAAAUCGCAUUAGAUAAUAUUCACUCUGUGUUCAUGCAUUCACUUAUUCAUAGCCUUUUGAUAUAUCGUGGUGAUUCUUUUCAGGUUUUAAAUGAUUAAUUUCAUAUUUUAUGUUUAUUAGAGCCACUUCUAUUAUUCUUUGCAUCAUUGUAUCCAUCCUAUGUCGUCUUCCUUUCGAUGAGGUAUUCACACGUAUGUUUCAUUUACUAAUGUGUGGGCUCAUGGCUAUUCAUCUCUUCUCUGAUCUAUGCUAUGAAUAUGAGCAAUCAAUUAGUUCCGGCACAGAGCGUUUACUUUUGCCUAUUUGUAAUACAAUUGCAGCUUGGAUUUCUCAUCUGUCUGUGAACUGAGCAAGGGCCUUUAAGUUUCCCAGCGGUAGGGUUUCUUUGGCAUUCAUUUUUGCAUUUUAAUUUCCUUAUCAAUUUCUAAUCCUGUUCUGUCAAAUUUCCUCAGGGCUUCCAUUUUGCUACUGAAAAUAAAAGGCUUUCAUUUCUGGAAGUUUCCCGAAUGCUCCCUGCGUCUGCUGCAUCCCUGUUUCUGUGUCUUUUCUGUAGGUCACAGCCCUUGCCUGUUAUUCUGUCUCCAUCCUUCUCUGUCUCUGCGUAC